rnacentral:rRNA from 1 species
UGGGGAAUAUUGCACAAUGGGGGAAACCUGAUGCAGCAACGCCGCGUGAGUGAAGAAGUAUUUCGGUAUGUAAAGCUCUAUCAGCAGGAAAGAAAAUGACGGUACCUGACUAAGAAGCCCCGGCUAACUACGUGCCAGCAGCCGCGGUAAUACGUAGGGAGCGAGCGUUAUCCGGAUUUAUUGGGUGUAAAGGGUGCGUAGACGGGAAAAUAAGUUAGUUGUGAAAGCCCUCGGCUUAACUGAGGAACUGCAACUAAAACUGUUUUCUUGAGUACUGGAGAGGAAAGUGGAAUUCCUAGUGUAGCGGUGAAAUGCGUAGAUAUUAGGAGGAACACCAGUGGCGAAGGCGACUUUCUGGACAGAAACUGACGUUGAGGCACGAAAGUGUGGGGAGCAAACAGGAUUAGAUACCCUGGUAGU